rnacentral:rRNA from 1 species
GGUUAAGCGACUAAGCGUACACGGUGGAUGCCCUGGCAGUCAGAGGCGAUGAAGGACGUGCUAAUCUGCGAAAAGCGCCGGCGAGGUGAUAUGAACCUUUGACCCGGCGAUGUCCGAAUGGGGAAACCCAGUGCAAUCCGUUGCACUAUCGUUAACUGAAUACAUAGGUUAACGAGGCGAACCGGGGGAACUGAAACAUCUAAGUACCCCGAGGAAAAGAAAUCAACCGAGAUUCCCCCAGUAGCGGCGAGCGAACGGGGAGCAGCCCGGAGUCUGAAUCAGCUUGUGUGUUAGUGGAACGGUCUGGAAAGUCCGACGGUACAGGGUGAUAGUCCCGUACACGAAAAUGCACAUGCUGUGAACUCGAAGAGUAGGGCGGGACACGUGGUAUCCUGUCUGAAUAUGGGGGGACCAUCCUCCAAGGCUAAAUACUCCUGACUGACCGAUAGUGAACCAGUACCGUGAGGGAAAGGCGAAAAGAACCCCGGCGAGGGGAGUGAAAAAGAACCUGAAACCGUGUACGUACAAGCAGUGGGAGCCUCUUUUAUGGGGUGACUGCGUACCUUUUGUAUAAUGGGUCAGCGACUUAUAUUCUGUAGCAAGGUUAACCGUAUAGGGGAGCCGAAGGGAAACCGAGUCUUAACUGGGCGUUAAGUUGCAGGGUAUAGACCCGAAACCCGGUGAUCUAGCCAUGGGCAGGUUGAAGGUUGGGUAACACUAACUGGAGGACCGAACCGACUAAUGUUGAAAAAUUAGCGGAUGACCUGUGGCUGGGGGUGAAAGGCCAAUCAAACCGGGAGAUAGCUGGUUCUCCCCGAAAGCUAUUUAGGUAGCGCCUCGUGAACUCAUCUUCGGGGGUAGAGCACUGUUUCGGCUAGGGGGCCAUCCCGGCUUACCAACCCGAUGCAAACUACGAAUACCGAAGAAUGUUAUCACGGGAGACACACGGCGGGUGCUAACGUCCGUCGUGAAGAGGGAAACAACCCAGACCGCCAGCUAAGGUCCCAAAGUCAUGGUUAAGUGGGAAACGAUGUGGGAAGGCACAGACAGCCAGGAUGUUGGCUUAGAAGCAGCCAUCAUUUAAAGAAAGCGUAAUAGCUCACUGGUCGAGUCGGCCUGCGCGGAAGAUGUAACGGGGCUAAACCAUGCACCGAAGCUGCGGCAGCGACACUAUGUGUUGUUGGGUAGGGGAGCGUUCUGUAAGCCGUUGAAGGUGUGCUGUGAGGCAUGCUGGAGGUAUCAGAAGUGCGAAUGCUGACAUAAGUAACGAUAAAGCGGGUGAAAAGCCCGCUCGCCGGAAGACCAAGGGUUCCUGUCCAACGUUAAUCGGGGCAGGGUGAGUCGACCCCUAAGGCGAGGCCGAAAGGCGUAGUCGAUGGGAAACAGGUUAAUAUUCCUGUACUUGGUGUUACUGCGAAGGGGGACGGAGAAGGCUAUGUCAGCCGGGCGACGGUUGUCCCGGUUUAAGCAUGUAGGCGGAGGUUCCAGGUAAAUCCGGUACCUUGUUAACGCUGAGGUGUGAUGACGAGGCACUACGGUGCUGAAGUGAUAAAUGCCCUGCUUCCAGGAAAAGCCUCUAAGCAUCAGGUAACACGAAAUCGUACCCCAAACCGACACAGGUGGUCAGGUAGAGAAUACCAAGGCGCUUGAGAGAACUCGGGUGAAGGAACUAGGCAAAAUGGUGCCGUAACUUCGGGAGAAGGCACGCUGAUGUGUAGGUGAAGCCCCUGCGGGCGGAGCUGAAAUCAGUCGAAGAUACCAGCUGGCUGCAACUGUUUAUUAAAAACACAGCACUGUGCAAACACGAAAGUGGACGUAUACGGUGUGACGCCUGCCCGGUGCCGGAAGGUUAAUUGAUGGGGUUAGCGGCAACGCGAAGCUCUUGAUCGAAGCCCCGGUAAACGGCGGCCGUAACUAUAACGGUCCUAAGGUAGCGAAAUUCCUUGUCGGGUAAGUUCCGACCUGCACGAAUGGCGUAAUGAUGGCCAGGCUGUCUCCACCCGAGACUCAGUGAAAUUGAACUCGCUGUGAAGAUGCAGUGUACCCGCGGCAAGACGGAAAGACCCCGUGAACCUUUACUAUAGCUUGACACUGAACACUGGUCCUUGAUGUGUAGGAUAGGUGGGAGGCUUUGAAGCGUGGACGCCAGUCUGCGUGGAGCCAACCUUGAAAUACCACCCUUUAAUGGCUGGUGUUCUAACGUGGACCCGUAAUCCGGGUUGCGGACAGUGUCUGGUGGGUAGUUUGACUGGGGCGGUCUCCUCCCAAAGAGUAACGGAGGAGCACGAAGGUUGGCUAAUCCUGGUCGGACAUCAGGAGGUUAGUGCAAUGGCAUAAGCCAGCUUGACUGCGAGCGUGACGGCGCGAGCAGGUGCGAAAGCAGGUCAUAGUGAUCCGGUGGUUCUGAAUGGAAGGGCCAUCGCUCAACGGAUAAAAGGUACUCCGGGGAUAACAGGCUGAUACCGCCCAAGAGUUCAUAUCGACGGCGGUGUUUGGCACCUCGAUGUCGGCUCAUCACAUCCUGGGGCUGAAGUAGGUCCCAAGGGUAUGGCUGUUCGCCAUUUAAAGUGGUACGCGAGCUGGGUUUAGAACGUCGUGAGACAGUUCGGUCCCUAUCUGCCGUGGGCGCUGGAGAAUUGAGGGGGGCUGCUCCUAGUACGAGAGGACCGGAGUGGACGCAUCACUGGUGUUCGGGUUGUCAUGCCAAUGGCACUGCCCGGUAGCUAAAUGCGGAAGAGAUAAGUGCUGAAAGCAUCUAAGCACGAAACUUGCCCCGAGAUGAGUUCUCCCUGAGACUUUAAGUCUCCUGAAGGAACGUUGAAGACGACGACGUUGAUAGGUCGGGUGUGUAAGCGCAGCGAUGCGUUGAGCUAACCGAUACUAAUGAACCGUGAGGCUUAACCUU